UCUGAAAUAAUUUCCCCAGCCGAUCUGAUACAAACCGGAAGUAACGACAAAGAUAAUGCAGAACUUUAAAGUGGUCCACACCCCAGGGGUAGGCAGCAAUCCCACUACAAUCCCACGGGAGCAUCUGACUGACAGUGCUCAUCAAACAAAUAACUUCCCAAGUAAGAGAUCUCUCCAGCAAAGCUCAUCACUGGAAAUACCAAGGCCAAAAAAGCAUAAUCUAGCUUAAAACUAAUCCACAAUGUCCGUAAUAGGUUACAGAUGGCAACUCAGCAAGCCUUCCCUGUUGGGUGAGCUUCUGCUAGAGCUGGGCUGCCUUCCCUGCCCCUACUCUGCUCAGCAGCAGCUCCUCCUUAUGGAUGCUGUUUUGUUAGUAUACUCCCUGCUAGUAUAUUACAUGGUUGUAAUCCAACAGCAGCCUAGUGACCCUCACAAUGGGCCCCAGUAGACAGCGAAUGCAUAUGUACAUUUUAUAUAGGUUUAAAACUACCAGCCAUACGCAGAAUAUUAUAAGACAAGGCGUGUGUUAAAGUGUACUAAAAGCUGCAUUAAAGUAAAAAUGGUCAAUAAAACAGCAAAAUCCAAACGCAGUCAAAGUUCCCCUGGGGCUUGGCAAAGAUCUGAAGACAGGUCUAAAUAAAAGAGCACAAUAAUUCUAAUAUCGUAAAAGAAAAAAGGGAAGCGAUUAGCACAAUUCCCAAAGCACUAACACUGAUUAGACCACCAGAAGUUGAUGACCAGGUACUAGUUCAUUUAAUAUUCACCUUAAAGGAAAAGCCAGCUGUUUGUGAACUGAACGACUGAAUGUUACCAACUUCCAUUGCCACACGGUUAAUCUCCAGUGGGCUGUGCUUGAGAUUAGACAUUUAAAGAAGUAAUUAAGAUUAAAUGAGACCCUAAGUAUGAGCCUUUGGUCCAACAGGAAUAGUGCCCUAACAAAGAGACAUCGGAGACCUUGCACACUCUCCCUCCUCCUCUGGACAAAGGGGGAGGGGCAGAUGAGCAUAGUAUGAAUUGGCAAGGACUGACAUGCCAGGACAAGAGCCUCACAAUGAAACCUUUCUUGCCAACACCUUGGUCUACUUCUCGGCCGCUGAAACGACAAGGGAGAAACUUCUGUGCUCAAGCCACUCAGUCUGCAGUAUUUUGCUAGGGCAAGCAAAGAAGGGCUGAUAUGACAGUCUGUGGUUUGUAAGUCCACCAAGGGUGAAACUAAGUCUUAAGGCUUGAGCAAAGUCUAGAGAAAUGGCGAAGACUUUGUUUCUAUUGCCUUUUGUAGGGGAAAAAAAAAUCACACUUUGAAGUUAAUCCUGGUGCUUGAAGAGCUAGGAUGGAGAACUCAGACAGGGGUCAGGACAGUAAUAAGCUGGGCUCCCAUGGUGAGGUGAAAUGAAGCAAGACAGGGGUACCGAGAACCUGUGCUCAUAUCCUAACAUGGGAGCUGUGCACCUCUGUGAGAUGAAUUAGUAACCCUGAACCCGCAUGAAGCCCAGCAGUGUAAGAAGCAAGAUCAGAGCGUCCCUGCACUGUGCUGCUUUCUGUUUGUUCCCAUUUCAAACUGUUUCCAAAGUAGCAUCAUCUGUAUAAUGCAUACCCAAACGCAUACUGACCAGCCUUUUAUUUCAUAUACAUAAAAUUUAACCAGUACAGAAUGCACCUCUACAGACGGCUAAGCACCGCUCUAAAGUAUAUAGGGGACACAAAGAUAAACCCCACAUCUUGGGAAGACUACUGACACAAGCAGAUGCCUGAAAGGAAUGGCAUUCAGGAACAGACACCCUAACAAAGGACCACGUGCCCUGGCUGCUCAGGGGAGGGAAGAGGGGGUCUGCCCUCUUGUGAACAAGAGACCAUGAGUUAGACUUCUAAGGCUGUGAACAGGAAGAGCCAAAGGAGAUAAUUCAGAUUUUUUUUUUUUAAAAGGGAGGGGGUGGGAUAAGAAAGGCUCUGCACCCGGAGUGGACAAUGUUCACAGGGAGAAAGAAGCGUGUUAAAGGACAUCAUGCCCAGGACGUGUCUGUGCACACACAAAGGUAAGGGAGGCAGAGCAUGCAGAGAUGCUGCACUGAGAUGCACGUGGCCUGAAUGAGCGACGGUCCUGGCUGGCAUCAAGGUGAACGGUGCUCCCUAAGGUGGAGAGACUGCAGUCCCACAAAACUGAAACAGCACAGAGAUCUGUAGUACAGAGAGGUGAUACGGCAGUGUGAGGAAGAGCAGCAGAGAUGUGCCCAGGACUUUGUUCCAGGACAGAGCUAUUCCUAAGAAUAUGAACCUGAAUGCCUACGAGAAACAAAUUAGCAACAGAACAAAACAGGAUUACAACCUGGGAGACAUAAAGGACUAACAUAUUAUAUAUGGACUUCGUGGGUGGGCCAAGCGACCUGUCAUACACCUCCCAUGGAGGCCUGCCGACAGGCUAUAGUCUGUCCUAAAAAACCAAAGGCUAUUUCCUGUUUUCUGUUACCAUUCUGUAUCCUGAUUCAACAUCUUGAAAAUAAUCAUUCUUUGAAAUAACCUAAACCCUAGCAUAUUAAAACUUUAAAAAAAAAAUAGAAAAAAAAAGACCUCACCCAACCUCUCCUUCUUCACAAAUGAGAAAUCUAAGGCUUGGCACAAAUAAGAGCUUCCUGGGGACUUGGUACCAGGGAGGGGACAGCCUGCUGCUGAAAGUUCAUGGUUUGUUUCCAAGCUCUUUCCCCACAUCUUCGCAUUAAGGUGCCCUUUUCUGUGAGGUAUUUUCAAGCCGUCCCCCCUGCCCCCCGCCAUCCCAUCUGCUGUGAUUUGGAUAUAAGGCCCCUUGUGUGAGAGCCUGGUGCCCAGCUUGACAUUUUCAGGAAGAACUGGAACUGUCAGAUGUGGAUCUAGUGAGGUGACUUCAGGACACGAACUAAGCACCUAAAGGAGAGAGUAGAACUCCAGCACUCCUUCCUCAUCUUCUCUUGGCUCCCUGGUAAGCAAUUUUUCUCUACCAUGUACUCCCACCAUGCCACACUGCCCUGCCAUAGGCCCAAAUCAACAGGGCCAACUGAAUGAAUGAAGACCUCAAAAAGUAUGAGCCUAGCCAGAUGUAUGGCACACACCUUUAAUCCCAGCCCUUGAGGCAGAGGCAGAUGGAUCUUUAGGAGUUCAAAGCUAGCUUCAUCUAAAUAGCGAGUCCCAGGCCAGCCAAGGCUACAUAGAUCCUGUCUCAAACAAUCAAAAAGUAUGGGCCCAGAUAGCCUUUACCACCCAAUUCCCAAACGCAGUGCUAGGGACCAAAGCCAAAGCUUCAUGAUGCUGGGCAAGUGUCUGCUACUCAGUGACACCCCCAACCCAGGCCUUUUCUUUUUAUAAACCGAUUAGCUCAGAGUUUAGGCCCAGUGACAGGAAGCUGGCUGACACGUCAUCUGAAAAUUUAAGGGCACUCUGUCACUUAGUCUGUGCCAUGCAGCAAGCCCUCCUUUCUCCCUGUCAGUUCUUCAUCUCUACAUUACCACUAAAGCAGGUGUUCUCCAAGCCCCUUCCAGACCGGGCAGUGUUUUUCUGCAACCUAAUUUCCACCACCAAACAUGGAUGGCAUUUUCUGAUUAUUCAUGAAGCUAGUAGGGGUUUGAACCAAUGAAAUAAAACACUGUACAAAACAAUGGGAUGUUUUCCUGGCAUUUCAAAUAGCCCUUCUUGCUUUAAGGCCAUAUGUAGGUUUAACUUUAUAAAUGAAGCAACCCCGGGUAAUGCAGCUAAGACCAGUCAUCAGUUCUCCAGUGUCCUGAAGGCUGUCCACCAUGCAGCAGGCACUGGAUACAUAUUUGCUGAAUGCGUGUUGACACACACCUGCUUGCCAUUUGUAUGUUUUUACUAAUUACAGCUACAUGUUCUACUAUUCAAAAUAUCUCUUUUGAUAAGGAAUAGAUAGGGGAAUUAUAGUUUUCUGGUUUCUUGAAAAAUACCAUGAAGAGCCUAAAGGAAGUAGAAAUGGCAGUUGUUCAGAGCCUCAUGCUAACUAUGGCUGUCAUUUUCUGUUCACAUGCUCAGACCUACCUGCCCAGGACGGGCGCUCACCAAGCCCCUUUCCUCCCCUCCAUCUUCUUUCUUUGAGAGGCUUUGCAUCAGCAGUGGCCUUUUCCUCUGUGUUAGCCCCCUUCCCCACUCUCUUCAAGUAGCCAUAGAAUGUGGAAGUGUUUAUUUUUGCCAUCUGUAUCUGAGUGUGACUGAGACCGGAUCCAGCCUUGUGUUUAAGGCAAGCCCCCACUCCUCACCCUCCUCUUCUCUGUCCUCCCACUUACAGAAACCCUUCUUUAAACUAGAUGAGAGUUCUUAAAAGUCUUGACCCCCUCCCUUCAUCUCCUCCACAGCUCCAUUCUAAACCAGCCCCCGCCCGGCUCCCCUGAAAUGCCUUUAGAUUCAUUAUUAAAGCCUCCCCUGCAGGAAGCAUUUCUGACACGCAGAAGGUGCCCUUCUGGGGGUGUUCCACACCAUCCUGCUUCUUGUCUUAGCCAGGACACUCUCCUCCACUCCCACACUUCAGAAGACUGAGUCUCAGAUCUGCUCUAGCCCGGGGCUAUCAAGUACUCAGCUCUUACCACAGCAUCUCUUACAACAAUUUCUCCACACUACUAUCCAUCUGCUCUGUCAAGGGGGAACUGCACUGUGUGCGCAUCUUUCUCAUGGUAGACGAUCAUUGCUUGUUCAGACAUAUUGCCAUCUCUCUACCAACUUCCUCUAUCACUGUCCCAUAUGGGCACCUCAGAAAUUACUAAUUCUCCAGAGAGCUAAAGCCAUACUAAUUAUUCCCCCACCAUCUACAAGUCUCAUGACAUCUGGUGAUUUCAGCCCUACUCAUGGGGCUUCCCAAGCAAAAAAAAAAAAACCUCAGCAUGUUCUCCAACAUGAGCAACCAGUUAGCAAAACUCAUCCUAUGAUUUACUUCACUAUCUACUGCUGUCUCCCCUACUCUCACUGCUCAUCUCUUCUGUCAGACCUUAAUCUGCAACUGCUCUCCCGAAUGCCCAAAGCAUCUUCCAUACAACCACAGGACAGGGUAUCCUGCUUGUACACUGUGACACAUCCCUGCUUGUACCCUGUGGCAUCUCUUCCACUUCUUAAGUAAUAAAACAAGUCCAAACUCCUCACAAGACACUCAGGGCUUUUCUAGAUCCUUCUUGAGUAUCAGCACCUCCUCCAUCUGCCCCACCUCAUGUAUCUUUCAACCUAAUCAGACCAAACUCACCCUCACGCCCUUAAAUUUGCUAUCUUCUCAUGGCUCAGUUUAUGUUGGACUUCCUCUGCCUGUAAUCUUUACUUCAAGGUCCAUUCAGUACCCAUUUCUAUCCUAACAGACCCAGCUCCCAUGUAAUUGUUCUAAAGCCUGCCUAAACUAAUGCCCACAGGCCUGCUUAUAAGUAAUGGCUUUCCUUCCAAAAUGAGUUUAAGCAGUGUAAGGUAAGUUAUAUUGGUUAACUGUCCUCUGCUCUUACUUGGUGAAAGCUGACGCUGGGAGUGGGGAGGCCCUGAACUGUCUGGGGAAGGCUGGCUCCUUCACUCUCUAACUAGGAAAAGAGCAAGCCACAGUGGGUAUUAGGAACAUUGUCCUUGAGAACAGGUUAGGAGAUAAACCAACUUAACUGAACACGAAGCUAGAAGUUCAUCCAUAGAAAGCUCAUCCACGGAGAGGCUGGAGAGGAUGGAGAGGACCCUCUUGCCUAGGAGUCUCUCAGUUAGGAACUCCAGCUGACUGCCUCAGUUUCCACAGUUUGUUUCUGCUGGUUGUAAACUCCCAAUUCGAUGAUGUUCUUGGUCUGCUGGUGUUUGUCCUUUACCUGAGAAGAUGAUCCCAUUCUACCUAGGACUCUUGACUGGAAACUCCAGCUGCCUGCCUCAAUGGGGCUUCUCCAGGAGAUUUCUGCCGCAUAUUUGUAAGCCCUAGAUUUGAUCUAGUCUUGUGGUGGCUCUCUCAAUUGGUCUACAUCCAGUCUGUUGGAUGUUGUGAUCACCCAGUUUGAUGUUUUGCCAUCCAGCUACGGCCUUCCUCUAUCUGCUACUCACUACUUAAGUUUUUUAUUUUUGCUAGCUAUCUAUUAAAUAAUUCACUCAUUCAACACUGAAAGCGUGACUGUUGUAGAACAUGCUCCAGACUCUACCGAGCACAAUGCAACUGCGUUUUUAAGGCAGGGAAUGUCACAGCUGAGACUCAACAGCAUGAAUGAGAUGAAAGGAGGUGGUCAUAGAACAUUCAGAAUGUCUGCCCUAGGGCUCAAACUCAGUGUGAAGCGCACUGGCCCUGAGUCUCUAGCAAAUGAGGUGACCCACUCUUCUAUAAACCCACGGUCAAUCAUAAAUGUCAACCAAUAGCACAUGCCACAUUUUUUAUAAUUUGCUCUUUGUGUCCAUCUCCCUCUCUGGAAUGGGAAACUCCUGAGGAAAUAUAUAAUUUCUGACUCACCUCUGCAUCUCCACAUGUAGCCUAUGACUCAGCAAAGGACUGGCACUCAGGAAACAUUUAUUUUGAAUGAAUUUCCUAAUGGCCAGGAAAUAUAGUAAAAUGCUGCUGAGUUUCCUGCCUACUACUGGAAAAAAGAAAAAUAUCUCUCUCUCUCUCUCUCUCUCUCUCUCUCUCUCUCUCUCUCUCUCUCUCUCUCUCUCUCUCUCUCACACACACACACACACACACACACACACACACCAUAAUCACAAAGGUAAGAGAUAGCAGGGAAAUGGCUGAGCCCCCAAGUUGUCGAUCUCUCCCAAAGCACUUGCUCUUUCCACUCUGCAUAAUAUUGGUUGCCCUUACCAUCACUGUGGACCCCAAACCCUCUUCCAAGUCCUAGUUUAAAACAAAACACCUUUAUCCAAGAAAUCUGUCCUGCUCACUCACGGGGAAGGUGACACUGGGUAAGAAAUCCAGAGAGCGCAGAGUGCCUCCCUGGUGGCUUCCCGCAGUGUGCUGAAGUGGCCAGCUCCACUGCUCUUCCUCCUACUGCAGACCCGGGCACCUUUCCUGUCUUCCUCCUUUUCUUUCCUUACAGUUCUCUCCAUUCCAAACUGAAACUCAAAAGUUUCUUCAGUCCCACUGUGUCACUGAAGCAAGUGAAGAGAGGUCCCAACUCCUCUUCUCCACAUCAGUUAGGCUUUUAAGCAUCUUACAACCAGGAACCAACCCCUGCAUCCUAAGAGGCGCAAUGCUUUGCCAGGCCUAAUGUUAGUGCCUGCAUUUCAUCGGAACACUUCCGCCCAGCUGCAGGAGUAAGGAGAGACAACUUCUGAUCUUCCUUUGGGACUCCUCUCACUCCCCCCCCCCCCCCCCAGGGCAGACCUGUCUCAAGAUGCAGCUGUGGGGAGAGGAAAUGGAUAACCCCAUCUUUCUCCAGGUUUUAGAAUUCUUUUUCCCCAUUCCUUAUCUCCCUCUCUGGCCUCAAACUCUCACAGCUGUCCUCAAUCCUAACUCAGGAACUAUUUUAUUAACAGUCAACAAUUUCUUGAGUAACCACACACCCGUGGCCUCUUCUGACAUGUUAAAACCCCUACACAACUCAGGCCCUAAUAUCCCAGCUCCCGUUUUAAAUGUGUGAAAAGAUGUGUCUUCACCCUUGAUCCAUUCUCCUAAGUAGCGCAAAACAUUUGUACUGUUAAAUGUUAUCACAGCGAUAAAACAUCCAUUCUCUAUCAUCAGAACAGGCAGACUAAAUUCGUGUUUCUUACUCCAACAGAACAAUUAUCCCUGCAAUUUACAGAGCUACCUCAGUGCCAGUGCGAUGAUUUAAUAAUUCAUGCCAACUGUUCAGGACCUGGGCCCUGGGACAUGAAGUACUUAAAUUUAGCUAUCAGCAGAUACACAUUAUCUCUCACAAUAGUACCUGGGGGUGGGUAUUACAUCACACCCAACUCCCCCAUUAUAGAAACAUCGACCCAGCAGCGUCGGAGCAAAGGAGCUUCCCCAAGAUGAGCUCCAUUCUCCUCCAACUCCCAGCCUGCUUCCUCUGCUUGACUAUCUUGUACUCAGCCAUAAUGGACAUCACUACCACCAUCACGCCAGCCUAUGGUAAGAGUGGAAGUGUCCUCACCCUGGGUUCCUGUUUACCCAGACAAAAAGCAAACAAACAGGCUGAGCCCGUUGUUUCAAGCAAGCACAAGCUAACAACAUGUGUGCUGACUGCUUUUGGACUAGAAAUCCACUUCUGAUCUAAUAGGUGGUUCUGGCAUAGAGGAUGGGACACCAGUUGAGAAAUAGCCACCCCAAACAAAGGGGCUACAAGUGGAAGAAUUCACCAAAAGUUAGCACAGGAAGAGAGAUACUCUGAAAUCCUUGCAUUAAUAGGACUGUAUUGUUGGAACAGCAACAAAGAAAAUUUGGGAUAGAGUCAUAUGGCACAGAGAUACAGAUAAGUGUAACCCCGCCUUCUUUAAAAAAAAAAAAAAAGUCAUCUUUUUUUUUAACAAAGACCAUCACAGAAAACCACAGCUGGUUAAGGUAAAGAACAAGGCAUGAUGGGGUACAAGUGAUCCAGCCCCAGUGGAUACAUCUAUAACACAGCUGCACCUGAGGCUCAGGAAAUAUGAUGGACAAGGGAGCAGAGAGAGUGUGAGAAUCAGAGGACCCGGAAAUGACAGGGAACCUCCACCCAUGGUGCCUCAAUAAAUAUGGCAAGUAAGGCCUGAACAAGGACAGCACCAAUAGACUUGCCAAUGAAGAAAGGAGAAAUCCCAGGGGACCCCACUCCUACACAAAGAACUAUAGGAAACUCAGGCAUGCUGAGGUUGGGAGAAUUCCUUCUUUCCAAGGAUGACCACCUCCCAAUUGGUUACCCAAUAUCAAGUGGUCAGCCUGAGAUCGUACACAGAAGCAACACUGAAUGGACACAUCAGAUUGUUUUUUUAUAUUUAUGCACACACACUCACACACAACAAUGACAAAGAAAAUGAGACCUUGAAUUUGAGAGGAAAGGAGAUGGGAAUAUGGGAAAAAAUAAGAGAGGUAAAGGAAGCGGGGAGAUGACAAUUAUAUUUUGAGUUAAAAAAUAUAUUUUAAAUUAGGAUGAGUACUAUAGAAGAUGUUGGUGAUAUACUCUCUGGUGGUAGAGACAGUCUAGGAGAUGUAGUUCAAAUGCUAAAAUAUUAGAAAAUCUGAAGUUAUUGAUGGAUAUUGACAAUAAUGAAGCAAAAUUUCUGAAACUCAAAUAUUCCUGGAAAAUCUUAUUGACUACAGUGUAUCAUAGUAUAAAGCAGAAUACCCACAUCAUGAAAAUGUGACAACAUUGAAUGAUUUUUUUUUUUUUGGUUUUUCGAGACAGGGUUUCUCUGUGUAGCUUUGCGCCUUUCCUGGAUCUCACGCUGUAGCCCAGGCUGGCCUCAAACUCACAGAGAUCCGCCUGCCUCUGCCUCCCGAGUGCUGGGAUUAAAGGCGUGUGCCACCACCGCCCGGCUGAUUUUUAUAUAUGUAAACCAAUUAAAAGUUUCUACAUACUAGGGCUGGAGGGAUGACUCAGCAGUUAAAAGCACUGACUGCUCUUCCAGAGGUCAUGAGUUCAAUUCCCAGCAACCACAUGGUAGCUCAGAACCAUCUAUAAUGAGGUCUGAUGCCCUCUUCUGGCAUGCAGGCAUACAUGCAGAUAGAGCACUCAUACAUAGAAUACAUACAUAAAUAAAAAAAUUGUUUGAAGUUUCUACAUAAAUACUAGCUAUGGAGGAUAAGACAGUUGUUGAUCUGUUGCAAGUACUUACAUAUGCUGUACAUUUGCAUUGUAUUCAAAGGCUGUAGGGAUGGUAAGAUAAUCAAGAAGGUCCUGCAGAACAGUGAUUCUCAAGAGAUGACUCUAGAUCAGCUGUCUUACCUCCCAUUUGUUGAAAACAAAGAUUAAAUUCAUAAGUCUGACCCAAACAGAACCUUGGAGGCUGGGCACCAUAAACCUUCCAGGUAGAUCACUUUGCAUACUAAAUUUGAGAGCUAGUUGAAUUAGUAGUAGCUGGCAUACAUCAACCAAAAUGCCAAAGACAUUUUUAUGGACUUGGUCUAGAUGAUCCUAAUAUUUGUUUGGAAAAAAAAAUGAUCAAGAAUAGCAAAGAACAUUUUUCAAAAGACUCAAGAUGGCAUUUACCCUACCAGGUAGCAAAAAACUCUAUAAAUUUAUAGGAAUUCAAUCUACAUAAUACAAUCAAAUAAAGCCCACAACAGAUUUCUGAAUGUGUUGGAACAUUUAAAACCGUAAAACAAUGGUUCUCAACCUUCCUAUCACUGCCACCCUUUAAUACAGUUUCUCAUGUUGUAGUGACUCCCAUUCAUAAAAUUAUUAUUUUUUUUUUUUUGGUUUUUCGAGACAGGGUCUCUCUGUGUAGCUUUGCGCCUCUCCUGGAACUCACUUGGUAGCCCAGGCUGGCCUCGAACUCACAGAGAUCCGCCUGGCUCUGCCUCCCGAGUGCUGGGAUUAAAAGCGUGCGCCACCACCGCCCGGCUCAUAAAAUUAUUUUUGUUGCCACUCAUAACUAUAAUUUGUUACCAUUAUGAACCAUAAUGUAAAUUUCUAUAUUUUCCAAUGGUCUUAGGUGACCCCUGUGAAAGGGUUGUUGGACACCCACAAAGGGGUCACGACUCACAGGUUGAGAACCACUGCAAAGGAGAGAGUUGUUAAGUCCACAAAUGAGAUUAGCCAUCCGUUUAAUAAAGAAUUAACAUUUCUCCUCUGCAUCAUGUAAAAUGAAUGAUUCCAUCUGGGGUUUAAAGCCACAUAUAAAAGACAUACAAGUAGUGAACUAAAAAUAGAACAUGUUUAAGCGGUCAAGGACAGCAAUGCUUUCUAAUGUAGGAUGUACAAAGCAGGGCUGGGAGUGUAGUGCAAUGGUCGAGCACUCGACAAGCAUGUCUUAAGUUCAACUCACAGCAUUGCCCCCUCACACAAAGAAAGAUACAUAAAGUACAGCCGCAUAGGACAAGAUUGGAAUUUUAACUAUGUAAAAAUUGACUUCGCAUGACUAGCACCAGUAUCUUCAUUUCUAAUAAAAGGACCCAUUGAAGAAAUGGCUGCUUCUGGGACGAGUGAAGAAAACAUGGAGUAAUUUAUACACAGGGAAGUAAGCAAUAACUAAAACACAUACAAGAACACCAACCAAAUAAAUAAUAAAAAAAAGUCCAGCAAACAAAAUGAGGUUCUAGUUAAGACAGCAGAUUCAGCAAAAACUCAAGCUGAUUGAGAAAAUGGGUUCUCUUACUUUCUGGAGGAAGUGUGAGUCGGUCCGGCUGUUCUGGGGGGACUAUAGCUACAGGGAUUUUAGAGUUCACAGUCCUGUUUAGCUACAGAAAUUCUCUUGGACAGAAGUUUAGAAGGAACAUGAGAAGCUAGAAAGAUGGCUCAGUGAGAAAAAAUACAUGCUCUACAAGCAUAAGGACUUGACUUUGACUCUCUAGGACCCAUGGAGACAGCUGAGCACGGCUAGGCUUGCCUGUAAGAUCAGGAUUUGGGGUGCAGAGACAGGCAGAUAGCUCACUAGCCUACUCGGCGAGCUUCCUCUUCAGGAAGAGACCCUGUCUCAAGGCAAUAAGGCAGAUAGUGACCCAGGAAGGCUCCCAACAUCCAGCUCCUGCCUGUGCAUGCAUGGGCAUAGGGACACUCAAGUCCAUAUACCACACACACACACACAGAGAGAGAGAGAGAGAGGGAGGGGAGAGAGAGAGAGAGAGAGAGAGAGAGAGAGAGAGAGAGAGAGAAUGAAGCAUGACCAAGGUUUUAACCAAAGCAUAUUUUAAAUGCACACACAAAUCAAAAUACCUACCAAAAAAAGGAAACGAUGAAGUGAGCUAAGGGCUAGUCACAGUGUAGAAAAACAUGUUAUAUCAUCUGCAGGGGUGUCAGCAACUACAGACAUCAUCAUUUUGUGUAUCAUUAAGAAAGAAAAUGUGUCUAAUUAAACUAUGGCCAAAACUUUUGUGCCCAUUUGUAAUUUUCUAUUUCAUACUUCUUGGGAAAGUUAAUUGAGACUUAAGAUGCAGAUUUAGAAUUGUGCACCAUCCCUUUGCAUGCGUCAAAAAGGAAAAUGUUUAUGAAAUGAAUUGAUUAGGACAUAGCUAAAUUCUCUUCUUGGAUCAGUGAAAUGGCUCAAGAGGUAAAGCCGCUUGCUGCUAAAAUCACCUCAGUUGAAUCCCCAGGACCCACAGGGUGAAGGGAGAGAAUUAAGUCCCAUAAGCUGUCCUCUGGUCUCCACACAUGUGUUAUGAUAUAUGCAAACGUGAGUGUGUAUGUGUGUGUGUGCAUGUGCAUGUGUACAAACACAUAAAAAGUGCUAUAAAAAAUUUAAAUUUAAAAUUUAAAUCCUCAUCUCUAAAUCAGACUCUCCUAAAGGGCACACAGACUCAGAUCCAUCAGUAGUCCGGGCUGCUAACCUCCAUUCUGUGAGUUUUGAUGCAUACCCAGCAGUGGAUGACAAUGGCAUCUCUUCUGUUGCCUCACUGGCAGCAACUGUAAGAGACAUACCAAUUUUCCAGGCUGUAAAGUGUGAAUGAGGAAGUGUGCCUUAGAAUAAUAAAGAGCAUAUGUAGUAGCUAAAGGAACCAAGGGCAUUCACAGACGCCACCGCUGGAUGCUUUAGUUCAUAUUGCUAAGAAAAAGCAACACUUUGUAAAAGCAAAUAUGCAGUACAAUAUUAUUCAGGGAAAAAGCAAACAAACCUUGGGAUUUCUAUGGCAGACACUGGAAAAUCGGGCAGCCAUAGACUGCAGCUUUCCUUUACCAUGCCGUGUUAGACUUUACACAGCUGACUGCUAGUUUUCCCGGGCUCUGUGCUGAGACAUGAUGUGAUCAGGUUUAGGAGAGAGAACUGUAAGCAGACAGUCCCCUGGGUUUCCUUUCGUGAAUGAAAACAGCUUGGCAAGCAGAUUAUGUUUGGCCUUUGCUGCCCAGUACAUGGACACAGCUUCUAGAGAGGCUGCAAUCAUCUCCAGAUCAAACAAGGGCAAGAGCAGUACAUGGUCAACUCAAAAGUUGAAAGAGCCUGGGAUCUUGGUGAUGUCACUGAGCCUCAGCACUGAGCCUCACCACCUGAGGGUGUGCAGCCUGUCUCUGGGUAAAGUGUACAUCCACGAACAGUUCAGUAGCAUGACACACAGCCACACUGUGCAACAACUAUUAUCACUAUCCAUUAAGACAUUUUCGUCAUUCCGAGCUCUGUUCCCAUUUAAAGCCAGCUCUGUGUUCAGCCCCACCCCUCACCUCUGGCAGCCAUUCUACUUUCUGUCUUCAUGUUUUGACAAGUUCAAGGAGCUCGUAUAAGUAGAAUCAUAAGUUCUUUUGUGCCUGGCUUUUUAAAAGAUUUAAUUUAUUCUUUUUAAUUAUGUCAGUCUGUGUAUCUGCAUGAGGCUAUGUGCGCAAGAGUGUAGGUGUCUGUGGGAGGCAAAGGUGUGCGAUUCCCCUGGAGCUGGAGUAUCAGGCAGUUGUAAGCCACCUGAUGUGGGUACUGGGACCCGAAUUUGGGCGGGUCUUCUGGAAGAACAGCAGGUGUUCUUAAUCACUGAGCCAUCCCUCUGACCCAUCUGCCUUUUAAGUUUUUCACUGUAUACUUGUCACACAAGCAUAGUCCCCCCAUACCUUUGUUCUACCCUUUUCCAAUCUCCCCCACUAAUAACCCCCUUUGCUUCUACUUUCAUAUCAUACAUACAUGAUUUUAUAUAUCCUCAUAAGAUCUAAGAACUACAAAUGAAAGAAAGCAUACAGCAGUUGUCUUGCUGACUAGUUCAAUAUGAUUAUCUCCAGUUACAUCCAUUUUUCAAACUUCGUUUCACAGGAAUGAAAAAAAUCCAUUGUGUACAUGUGCUAGUUAGUUAGUUAGUUUUUGUCAACAUGACAAGGAAGAGUCAUCUGACCUCAGUGGAGAAAGUGUCUCUAUUAGAUUGCCUAUGAACAAGUCUGUGGCGUAUUUUCUUAAUUAAUAAUUGAUGGGGAAGGGCCCAGCAUAUUAUGGGUAAUGCCACCCUGGGCAGGUGGUCCUAGAUAGUAUAAGAAAGCAAACUGAACAAGUCAUGGGGAGCAAGUCAGCAAGCAGUGUUCAUAAGUUCCAGUUUCCAGGUUUCUGCCUUGAGUUCUGCACCAACUCCUGUUCACAGUGGACUAUAGGCUGUAAACUGAAAUAAACCCUUUCCUCCCCAAGUUGCUUUUAGUCAUGGUGUUUUAUCACAGUAACAGAAAGCUAACUAGGACAUUAAGUAAUUCUGCAUUUUCAGUCUUCCUUCCUCUACUGUUAAACACGUCCAUUUAUUCCAUAACUUAGCUAUUGUGGACAGUACUACGGUAAACAUUAAUGGGCAAGUGCCUCUAUGAUAUGGUGACUUGAGUCCUUUGGUAACAGUGCAGAGCUAGGUCAUAUGGUAGAUCUAGCUGAGUUUUCUGAGAAACUUCCACACCAAUUUUCCACGGUGUCGGGAUUAGCUUGCACCCCCACCAGCAGUGAAUAAGCGUUCCCCUUUUGCCCAUAUCCUCCACAGCAUCAAUUGUUGUUUCUUUUUCUUUUUUUUUUUUUUGGUUUUUCGAGACAGGGUUUCUCUGUGUAGCUUUGCGCCUUUCCUGGAACUCACUUGGUAGUCCAGGCUGGCCUCGAACUCACAGAGAUCCGCCUGGCUCUGCCUCCCGAGUGCUGGGCAAUUGUUGUUUCUUAAUGACUUCCAUUCUCACUGGGCUAAGACCAAAUGGCAGCGUAGACUCGUCUCUCUGAAGGCUAGUGACUUUGGACGAUGUCUAUAUGUUUAUUAGCCUUUUUAAGUUUUUUUUGUAUAGCCUAGAUAUUUAUUCUGUCAAAGAUGUUCCUCCCUUUCUAUCGGUCGUGUCUUUACUUGUUUCCAUUGCUAUUUUUUAGUUUCGUGAAAUCCAAUUUGUCAUUUGUUUAGAAAGUCCUUGCUGUAUCUUGAAAUUAUCCCUCCUUUUUCCUCUACCAAUUUCAGAGUCUCAGGUCUUAUAUUAGGUUUUUGACCCAUCUAGGGUUGACUCUUGUGCAGGGUGAGAGGUAGAAAUCUAGUUUUACUCUUCUACAUAUGGAUACCCAAUUUCCCAGCACCAUUUACUGAGGAUGCUGUAUUUUCCCCUAUGUAUAUUUUUGUCAUCUUUGUCAAAAAAAUCAAGUUCCUGGAGCUGUGUGGGCUUAUAUUUGAGGCUGUACUCUGUUCAGUUGACUACAUGUCUGCUUUACAGCCAGCACAACACUGUUUUUUGCUACUUUUGCUCUGUAAAAUAACUUGAAAUCAGGUAUAGUGAUACUUCUGGUUUUAUUCUUUUUGAUCAGGAUUGCUUUGGCUAUCCUUGGUCUUUUAUGUUUUGUUUUUAGCUUAUUUAAUUAGUAUAAUGUUGUCACUGAGCAUCCAUAGUGUAAUAUAAAUAAUAAUUUCACUCUUUUAACAGCUGGAUAAACUUCUACUGUCUGUAUGUAUAUGUUGCAUUUUAUCUUUGAUGCAGGGACAUUUGAAUUAUUUCCCUGGGCUUCUUUUUGAAUGAGACUAAUAAACUGGCUUCCUUUCUUGGGUUUUCAUUUCAA